AUUUGCUAGGAUGCUGGCGUAAUGGCUGUAAGCGGCCCGUCUUGUAACACGGACCAAGGAGUCUAACAUCUAUGCGAGUGUUUGGGUGUCAAGCCCGGGCGCGCAAUGAAAGUGAACGGAGGUGGGAACCUUUCGGGGUGCACCAUCGACCGAUCCUGAUGUCUUCGGAUGGAUUUGAGUAAGAGCAUAGCUGUUGGGACCCGAAAGAUGGUGAACUAUGCUUGAAUAGGGUGAAGCCAGAGGAAACUCUGGUGGAGGCUCGCAGCGGUUCUGACGUGCAAAUCGAUCGUCAAAUUUGGGCAUAGGGGCGAAAGACUAAUCGAACUAUCUAGUAGCUGGUUCCUGCCGAAGUUUCCCUCAGGAUAGCAGUGACGUAUUCAGUUUUAUGAGGUAAAGCGAAUGAUUAGAGGCCUGGGGGUUGAAACAACCUUCACCUAUUCUCAAACUUUAAAUAUGUAAGAAGUCCUUGUUACUUAAUUGAACGUGGACACU
rnacentral:rRNA from 1 species